UCCGACUUAACGUCGGCAGUCCCUCUAGAGUGCCCAACUUAAUGCUGGCAACUAAAGGCAAGGGUUGCGCUCGUUGCGGGACUUAACCCAACAUCUCACGACACGAGCUGACGACAGCCAUGCAGCACCUGUACUAGAGCCCGAAGGCGACCCUAUCUCUAGGAGUCUUCCCUAGUAUGUCAAAUCCAGGUAAGGUUUUUCGCGUUGCAUCGAAUUAAACCACAUGCUCCACCGCUUGUGCGGGCCCCCGUCAAUUUCUUUGAGUUUUAAUCUUGCGACCGUACUCCCCAGGCGGGGUACUUAACGCGUUAGCUUCGACACUGAAGGGGUCAAUACCUCCAACAUCAAGUACCCAUCGUUUACGGCGUGGACUAC
rnacentral:misc_RNA from 1 species